GAUGAACGCUAGCGGCAGGCCUAACACAUGCAAGUCGAGGGAGAGGUUAUCUUCGGGUAACCAAAACCGGCGCACGGGUGCGUAACGCGUAUACAAUCUGCCUUUCACAUAGGGAUAGCCCGAAGAAAUUUGGAUUAAUACCUAAUGGUAUAUAAGAGCGGCAUCGUUUUUAUAUUAAAGCUACGGUGGUGAAAGAUGAGUAUGCGUUCUAUUAGCUAGUUGGAGAGGUAACGGCUCCCCAAGGCGACGAUAGAUAGGGGUUCUGAGAGGGAUGUCCCCCACACUGGUACUGAGAUACGGACCAGACUCCUACGGGAGGCAGCAGUGAGGAAUAUUGGACAAUGGUCGGAAGACUGAUCCAGCCAUGCCGCGUGCAGGAUGAAGGUCCUAUGGAUUGUAAACUGCUUUUGUAAGGGAAGAAUAAGGAGUACGUGUACUUUGAUGACGGUACCUUACGAAUAAGCAUCGGCUAACUCCGUGCCAGCAGCCGCGGUAAUACGGAGGAUGCGAGCGUUAUCCGGAAUCAUUGGGUUUAAAGGGUCCGUAGGCGGGCUGAUAAGUCAGAGGUGAAAGCGCCUAGCUCAACUAAGCAACUGCCUUUGAAACUGUCAGUCUUGAAUGAUUGUGAAGUAGUUGGAAUGUGUAGUGUAGCGGUGAAAUGCUUAGAUAUUACACAGAACACCGAUAGCGAAGGCAUAUUACUAACAAUUUAUUGACGCUGAUGGACGAAAGCGUGGGGAGCGAACAGG
rnacentral:rRNA from 1 species